rnacentral:lncRNA from 1 species
GUCCGCCACCGACAGCGUCACAGACCUCUUCGUCAUGGGCUGUACGGAGAACGUCAGGUGGGAAAUAGCUCCAAGAACUCCCAGCGAGAUCCUGGCGGCGUGGAACAGAUCACUCCCCUCCGCGACCGUGACAACUUUGGCAAAGCCUUCCUUCUCGGAGGCCGGGACGACGAUUCUCGUGGACACGAGGUACUCGUAAGUUCCUCCGCCGCGACUCCACAGGCUGCUGCCGUGAGCCCCCGUGCUCACCAUGCCCGCUGGCGACGCGCCGUCCCAGUCGAUGGUCUGGUGCAAAGUCACGCCUUGCAUCGCCAGGAGAUCCAUGAGCUCGCCAAGCAUGAUUCCAGGGGGUGUGGAGACCGUCAUGGAGCUCUUGUCGACGACGACGCUCGAGUUGGAGUUGAAGCUAGCGGUGCUGAUGACAACUCCCCCUGUGUCGGAUCCGGAGUUUGGACACGCGAAUUUGGUCAUGGUAUGUGCCUCCCUGCUUAUCACUUUGAUCUUCUGCUUGCUCUUGACUGCGUAGGCCACGGCGUCGAGGAGCUCGGCCUCGUUGGUCGGGAAGAACGCCUUGGUGAUCUUGCAAGGCCUGCGAUCUGGCCAUGGACCUCUGAGAUAGUUCUUGAGCUCGCAGCCACUCGCAUCGCAUUCUACUAGAGAUCUUACAAGAUGCAAGUUGAGAGAAAAGAGGAGGGCGAGGAGGACGAACUUCAUGAUCUCGAGUACUUGUUGGUGAAAGGUCUCAAAGAUUUAUGGACCAUUUUCUAUCAAAUGCCACCUUGACUUACGUCAGUAAAAUCAUUUGAUAAUUAGUAUAUUAGAAACAAAUGCUGGUUGGUUGACAAAGGCUAGCAAAGAGUAGUUAGUAUGGUGUGCAAUUUGUGAAAAAUGUAUGUCCUAUAGAUGGGGGUAAAUUUUUGUGCAAUUUAAUUACGGCAGCAGCCACCUCAGCAUAUAUUCGGAGCAUAUACUUAAAAUAUAUAGUGAAGGCUUUUUAUUAAUCACUUAUAAAAAAUUUAAACACAAAAUGUUUCUCAUUUUGCAUGAUUAUGAUGUUUACAGAGUCUAUGCUAAAACCUUUCUAGAAAUCCCUUAUUCAAAAGAACAUCUAGCAUGUUAGCACACAUUCUCAUUGUUAUUUAAACUUUUAAAGGACAUAUUAUUAAAUCAUACAAUUUCAUCAUAUGAGUUAUUCAAGUUUGAGCAUUCAAGUCUCUCCAAAAUAAGUCAUUAUAUUAUAAAAUUGAAAUUUAUAAAAACUUUCUUCUGCAAAACUAUGGAGAUCACCGCAACUUGAAAUCUAUAAUCAUAACACACUUGAAACACUUAAUAUAGGUUUAAGCCUUUUUUGACUCUAUGACAAAAACAACAACUCAAUCUUCUCUUGAUUGUGCUUGUAAAUGGUGUACAAAUUGUUUGCUUCCAAUUAUAACCCAAAAAACACCAUUCGGUACCAAAUGGUGUUUUUUCAUGUUUGCCUAAUAUGACUGAAUGGAAUAUUUUGGGUGCCCUAGACUUAAGUUGUACACACUCACAAACUUUUAGUAUAAACCCCAAAUAUUCAGAAUGCAUGCUCGUAGUUUUUGUUUGAUGGGCUUGAGCUGAAACUAAUUUAUAUCUAUUUAAAGCUGUUUAAAUCCACAUAUAAGUUGAUUGUGGGUUCAACUCCACCUUCUUCUUGACCUACCCUCACUUGAUGCUGGCCUGCUACCUUCGCCUCCUCCUCUUCCUUUCAAUGUACAGAAAGGAAAAAAUCUAGGCAGCUUAUUGAUAGAUAUAAAUUUAAAUAUUUAUCUGAAAAGUCCCUCAAAGAGGUUAACAAGGCUAGAUUGAGCCCAAGAGGGACAUCGUGUCAUGGACAACAAUGGUCGCCCAAGCUGGAGAUUGUUAUUUGGCUGCCGCAAGGGAGAUCUUCAAUGUGAGAGGACGCAUCUCUCACGGUAGCUCAAGUACAGGAGGAUGAUCAAGGCCAGAGAUUUUUUUCUUGAAGGGAUGCCAGAGAUGGAACUUCUAUGGUUACAGACGUAUUGCAGAAAGCAGGCUCAACAAAGAAGAGGAACUGUCUGGAAUGACUUUUAAUUUAAGUAUAUUCCUUACACUAAAACAAUUGCUGAGCACAUCUCAGAACUGAACAACAAACAAGGAGAAAUGAUGCAUCUUAACUUCUAUUGCUGCAGACUCUUGCCUCGCGGUAAACAGGUCCUGGUCUGCAAAAAUAUCCUUUGUCUAGAGCACAGUGCCUGGCUUCGCUGCAAACACACAGUCCUUCCAAAGCACAUCCAUCCUUUGUGGUCACCGGGCUUCCUCGGAUUCCCAGCACUGAGUCAGACCAAUCACUUGAAAACCAUCCUUGUGGAUCCAACUUCCUCCUAGCCGAAAGAAACUUAGACAAAUUCUUCGUCUUCCUUCCAAUGUCCCGGAAUGCAUGCGGCCUGUUCUUCCCGAAGUGUGGCUUCCCGUUAUACUUAAACAGUAAAAGCUGCUCUAUCUCCUCAGCAACGUCCUCGUACGUCUGUGGUUCCCCUGGCCUCCUGUCUCGGAACGUCAUGAACCCAAUAUUUGCUGCGUCAGUCUUCGGUCCAAGGUAAGCCUGAGAAGCUUUCAAGUAUCUAAUCAGUAAUGUCAUGGAAGUGUCAAGCAGACAGAGACGUUCUGGCGACAAGUCUCUCAACUGCUUCACGUCUCGGAUAAAGCUGCCGACGUCGCUGAUGGAGAUAGAUACCGAGACGUGGAACCAGAAUUGGCCAUAUGCUCGGAAGUCCCAGCCGCAGACGAGCCUCUCAGACUCCGGAAGAGCCAAAUUGGUGGAGUUUCUGUAAGUGUACUGGCAGCCUCCUCGAGCUUGAAACUUGUGGAAGUAUCCGACCACAGGGAAUCCCGAGAAAUGUUGCUGCCGCUCAUCAUUGAAUAAUCCGCCACCCGUGGAAGUAAUGGUGUUUACGGUGUUCUUAGCAACGGAGCAGAAGAAGGUUGAAUUCCCAAUCGCUUCAGCUGCUUCUUCUGGAAAACAUUCAAUUUUAAGAUCAGUCGGAGAGCACGAAAGGAAAGGAAAAUCCGGGACAGGGAUAUAGAGGACUUGAACUCCUGGCAGCAGCAGCCUGGACGGGAAGAAACAGAGCUGCAGCGCCAUUUCCUGGCACCGAGAGUGGCGCUUUGUCAUCGAUCCUCGACACAAAUUUCGGGUAGAAUGACCCCCCUUUAUUUAGGGUGGGCCCCGUUUGCUUAUUUGGAUUUGCAUGCCACCUCAUUGCUUACAUGCACAUGCCACCUCAUUACUGUAUAUUAUUUUCAACUAUUUUUAAGUAUUUAAAAGUACAAAAUCAAAUAUAUUAUUUAUUCUACUAUAACAGCAUUAUCUUGAUUGUAUAGCUUAAUAUGACUACAUAGAAUAUUAAAUGUAGCUUCCUUUCUCUCUCUUGUGGAAGAAGACCAACAGUAAUACAAAAACUAAAAGAAUAUUCCAAUACUAAAGAGAAUGAAUAAAAUAAGCAAAGCAAUUAGUCUAACCAUAAUACUAAAGAGAAUGAAUAAAAUAAGAAAGAAAAUAUAAGGAGCACAAACAUAAAACACAAUGAGGAAAAACCUAAACCAAUCGUAGGUUAUAUACUUAUAAAUUAUAGCCGUUCAUUCACUGGCUAAUUAUAAAAUUAUAGUCCUUAACAUAUCCGUUAACAGCAUCUACUAAUUAAAAUUUAGCGUUAAACAUUUAGGGUGCAGAGCUGGGCGUGACUAAGCGCCACGGAGGAAGCAAGGAGUGAGCGUGCUGUAUUGUGCAUUUCUUCCCAAAUUUCUUCUGCGAGCUGUACCACGACACUUCCGCAAACUCGCGCUCCCGAGCCAGUGUCAAGAAGUCCUCUUCCAGAGACGCAUCGUCCGCCACCGACAGCGUCACAGACCUCUUCGUCAUGGGCUGUACGGAGAACGUCAGCUGGGAAACAGCUCCAAGAACUCCCAGCGAGAUCCUGGCGUCGUGGAACAGAUCACUCCCCUCCGCGACCGUGACAACUUUAGCAAAGCCUUCGUUCUUGGAGGCCGGAACGACGAUUCUCAUGGACACGAGGUACUCGUAAGUUCCUCCGCCGCGACCCCAAAGGCUGCUGCCAUGGGCCCCCGCGCUCACCAUGCCCGCCGGCGACACGCCGUCCCAGGCGAUGGUCUGGUGCAAAGUCACGCCUUGCAUCGCCAGGAGAUCGAUAAGCUCGCCAAGCAUGAUUCCAGGGGGUGUGGAGACCGUCAUAGAGCUCUUGUCGACAACGACGCUCGAGUUGGAGUUGAAGCUAGCGGUGCUGAUGACAACCCCCCCUGUGUCGGAUCCGGAGUUUGGACACGCGAAUUUGGUCAUGGUAUGUGCCUCCCUGCUUACCACUUUGAUCUUCUGCUUGCUCUUGACUGCGUAGGCCACGGCGUCGAGGAGCUCGGCCUCGUUGGUCGGGAAGAACGCCUUGGUGAUCUUGCAAGGCCUGCGAUCUGGCCAUGGACCUCUGAGAUAGUUCUUGAGCUCGCAGCCACUCGCAUCGCAUUCUACUAGAGAUCUUACAAGAUGCAAGUUGAGAGAAAAGAGGAGGGCGAGGAGGACGAACUUCAUGAUCUCGAGUACUUGGUGGUGAAAGCUCUCAAAGAUUUAUGGAUCAUUUUCUAUCAAAUGCCACCUUGACUUACGUCAGUAAAAUCAUUUAAUAAUUAGUAUCCCAGGAAACGCUAAUUGACUCUUAGAGAGAAAAUAUGUUUAUAAGUUGUUACUUUCCACAAAAUACAUAGCAUGAAAGCAAAUAUCAGUCAAUGAAGGCCAUUUGUCUUUGCGGCGUAGCUAUCACUGGGAACAUCAUGUGCACCACAAGACCAACCAGCUAACACCAGUCCUUCAAAAUGUUCGUAAAAUUCCGAGAUGUUUCUGAUACUGCAUCUUGUCUUUGAGCUCCAAGUGCCACUUCCCACAAGUAAAGCAAUGCGGCCAAGGAGAAAGAAAGAUUUGGAUCAGAGUCAAGUAAGCCAUAAUCAAACUCCACACUAUAGAAAAACUGAAAUUCAAUUCUUGAAAAUUCACAAGAGAUUUAAUUACUGAAUCUACUACUCCACACAGGAGCAAUGCUUGGAUUGACAUAUGCUCUAGUGAAAAUUAGCACUAGAAAUGCAGCGCCUAGAUCAAGAACAUUAGUAUUAGUAUUUUGCAAUGAGUGAAAUUGAGGAUUUCUGUAGUGCCAACAAACAAGAAGAGCAUCAUCUUCAUGGUUACCCAAGACAACCUAUCAAGCCCUGGAGAUAGAGGUGUUGGUUAUUUAAAUCCACAUAAGUUGAUCAUGUGAUAUAAAUUAUUAAGAGUUCCAGUUGAGGAUGCUGGAUUGAGCUCUAUUGAGUGGAUCCCAGGCAAGCCUGAGGAGCUUUCAAGAAUCUAAUCUGCAAUGCAAGGGCAGUAUCAAGCAGACAACGACGUUCUGGUGAUAAGUCUUUCACGUCCCGGAUAAAGCUGGCCGAUGGAGAUAGAUACCGAGACGUGGAACCAGAAUAGGCCGUAAGUUCGGAACUCCCAACCACAGACGAGCCUCUUGGACACCGGGAGAGCCAAGUUGGUGGAGUUGCUAUAAGUGUACUGGCAGCCCCCUCGAGCUUGAAACUUGUGGAAGUAUUUCCGACCCGAGAAAUGUUGCUGCUGCUCAUCGUUGAAUAAUCCGCCAACCGUGGAAGUAAUGGUGUUCACGGUGUUCUUAGCAACGGAACAGAAGAAGGUUGAAUUCCCAAUCGCUUCAGCUGCUUCUUCUGGAAACAAUUCAAUUUUAAGAUCAGUCGGAGAGCACGAAAGGAAAGGAAAAUCCGGGAGAACGGCUCAGUCUUGAACUCCUGGCAGCAGCAGCCUGACGGGAAGAAAUAGAGGUGUAGUCUCAGCCCCAUUUCCUGCCACCGAGAGUGGCGCUCUGUCAUCGGUCCUCCACACGUAUUUCUUCUGCGAGCUGUACCACAACACUUGCCCAAACUCGUGCUCCCGAGCCAGCCUCAAGAAGUUGUCCUCCAGCGACGCAUCGUCCGCCACCGACAGCGUCACAGACCUCUUCGUCAUGGACCGUACAGAGGCCGGGACGACGAUUCUCAUGGACACGAGGUACUCGUAAGUUCCUCCUCCGCGACUCCACAGGCUGCUGCCGUGAGCCCCCGUGCUCACCAUGCCCGCUGGCGGGUGCAAAGUCACGCCUUGCACCGCCAGGAGAUCCAUGAGCUCGCCAAGCAUGAUUCCAGGAGGCGUGGAGGCCGUCAUGGAGCUCUUGUCGACGACGACGCUCGAGAUGGAGUUGAAGCUAGCGGUGCUGAUGACAACUUCCCCUGUGUCGGAUCCGGAGUUUGGACACGCGAAUUUGGUCAUGGUAUGUGCCUCCCUGCUUACCACUUUGAUCUUCUUGCGAUCCGGCCAUGGACCUCUGAGAUAGUUCUUGAGCUCGCAGCCACUCGCAUCGCAUUCUACUAGAGAUCUUACAAGAGCAAGUCGAGAGAAAAGAGGAGGGUGGACGAACUUCAUGAUCUCGAGCACUUCCGGUGAAAACUCUGUCAAUAAAAUGAUUUAAUAAUUAGUAUAUUGGUGGGUUGACAAACCCUAGGUAUGAAAGCAAGAAUCAGUCAAUGAAGGCCAUUUGUCUUUGCGGCCUAUCUAUCACUGGGAGCACCAAUCCUUCAUAAGGCUUGUAAAUUCCAUCCUGUCACUUCCCGCAAGUAAAGCAAUGCAGUCAAGGAGAAAGAAAGAUUUGAGUCUUGAUCAAACUCCACAGUAGAGAAAAAUUGAAUUUCAUAGUUAAUGAAAUUCAAAUGAAACUCUUGUAAAAUCUUGAAAAUUCAAAAGAGAUUCUUAAUUACUGAAUUAGUAUUCUCCUAGAAAUGCUAGUGCUUAUCAGCGUAGUAAUUUCAAGUAACUGGUAGUGCCUUUAUUUGGCACAUAUCGCUUUGCCACAUAAGCUGAGAUUGCCAAUAAAAAUUUCAUAUAAUUAUAUCAUAUUAAUAAUUCACAAUGAGUGAAAUCUCAAAUUUCUCUAGUGCAAACAAAGAAGAGGAACAUCAUCUCCUGCCCAGCUAAGACAACCUAUCAAGCCUUGGAGAUAAAACUCCAUAGUUCUACAGGUCAUUAAAGUUUUGAUGGGUGUGCAAUUUAAAGGUUCUUUUAUCCCACUCUAAAAACACUUUAAAAAUCGGUCAUUAGGGCACUAAUUUAUGUGUUUUUAAGGGUUUCCAAAAAAAAUCAAAAUUAGGAUAAUAUUUUUAGUUAUUUCUUUUUAUUCCUUUUUUGAUAAUUUGGUACAUUGAUUUAAAUUUUUCCUCAACAAAAUAAUGAAUAUUCUAAAUAAACCCUUAAGUUGUACACACUCACAAACUUUUAGUAUAAACCCCAGAUAUUCAGGGAGUCUGGGAGAAUGCUCGCUCGAUGUUUUUGUUUGAUCUAAGUGAGAUACUUGAUUGGCUUGAGCUGAAGCUAAUUCAUAUCUAUUUAAAACUGUUUAAAUCCACAUAUAAGUUGAUUGUGGGUUCAACUCCACCUUCUUCUUGACUUACCCUCAUUGAUGCUGGCCUGCUACCUUAGCCUCCUCCUCUUCCUUUCAAUCUACAGCAAAGAAAAACUCUAGGUAGCUUAUUGAUAGAUAUAAAUUUUAAAUAUUUAUCUGGCUUAGAUAUAAACUAUUAAGAAUUUCUCAAAGCUGUUAACAAGGUUAUAGGAGGAAUAAGAGCUAGAUUAGGCCCAAGAGAGACAUUGUGUCACGGGCAACAAUGAUCGCCCAAGCUGGAGUAUUUGGCUGCUGCAAGGGAGAUCUUCAAUGUGAGAGGACGACAGCCUAGCUCAAGAACAGGAGGAUGAUCAAGGGCAGAGAUUUUUUUCUUGAAGAGGAUGCCAGAGAUGGACGACUUCCAUGGUUAGAGACGUAUUGCAAAGGGCAGGCUCAACGAAGAAGAGGAACUGUCUGGAAUAAUUUUUUUGACUUUUUAACUUGUUGACCUUCUUGAUUCUUUAAAAAAUAUAAUCCGAUAUUUUAAGUAUAUUCCUUACACCGAGCACAUCUCAGAACUGAACAACAAACAAGGAGAAAUGAUGCAUCUUAACUUCUAUUGCUACAGACUCUUGCCUCGCGAUAAACAAGUCCUGGUCUGCAAAAAUAUCCUUUGUCUGGAGCACAGUGCCUAGCUUCGCUGCAAACACACAGUCCUUCCAAAGCACAUCCAUCCUUUGCUGUCACCGGACUUCCUCGGAUUCCCAGCACAGCAUCAGACCAAUCACUUGAAAACCAUCCUUGUGGAUCCAACUUCCUCCUAGCCGAAAGAAACUUAGACAAAUUCUUCGUCUUCCUUCCAAUGUCCCGGAAUGCAUGCGGCCUGUUCUUCCCGAAGUGUGGCUUCCCGUUAUACUUAAACAGUAAAAGCUGCUCUAUCUCCUCAGCAACGUCCUCGUACGUCUGUGGUUCCCCUGGCCUCCUGUCUCGGAACGUCAUGAACUCAAUAUUUGCUGCGUCAGUCUUCGGUCCAAGGUAAGCCUGAGAAGCUUUCAAGUAUCUAAUCAGUAAUGUCAUGGAAGUGUCAAGCAGACAGAGACGUUCUGGCGACAAGUCUCUCAACUGCUUCACGUCUCGGAUAAAGUUGCCAACAUCGCUGAUGGAGAUAGCUAUAGAGACGUGGAACCAGAAUUGGCCAUAAGCUCGGAAGUCCCAGCCGCAGACGAGCCUCUCAGACUCCGGAAGAGCCAAAUUGGUGGAGUUGCUGUAGGUGUACUGGCAGCCUCCGCGAGCUUGAAACUUGUGGAAGUAUCCGACCACAGGGAAUCCCGAGAAAUGUUGCUGCCGCUCAUCAUUGAAUAAUCCGCCACCCGUGGAAGUAACGGUGUUCACGGUGUUCUUAGCAACGGAGCAGAAGAAGGUUGAAUUCCCAAUCGCUUCAGCUGCUUCUUCUGGAAAACAUUCAAUUUUAAGAUCAGUCGGAGAGCACGAAAGGAAAGGAAAAUCCGGGACAGGGAUAUAGAAGACUGACGGCUCAGUCUUGAACUCCUGGCAGCAGCAGCCUGAACGGGAAGAAACAGAGAUGCAGCGCCAUUUCCUGGCACCGAGAGUGGCGCUUUGUCAUCGAUCCUCGACACAAAUUUCUUCUGCGAACUGUACCACGACACUUCCGCAAACUCGUGCUCCCGAGCCAGUGUCAAGAAGUCCUCUUCCAGAGACGCAUCGUCCGCCACCGCCAGCGUCACAGACCUCUUCGUCAUGGGCUGUACGGAGAACGUGAGCUGGGAAACAGCUCCAAGAACUCCCAGCGAGAUCCUGGCGGCGUGGAACAGAUCACUCCCCUCCGCGACCGUGACAACUUUAGCAAAGCCUUCGUUCUUGGAGGCCGGAACGACGAUUCUCAUGGACACAAGGUACUCGUAAGUUCCUCCCCCGCGACCCCAAAGGCUGCUGCCAUGGGCCCCCGUGCUCACCAUGCCCGCCGGCGACACGCCGUCCCAGGCGAUGGUCUGGUGCAAAGUCAC